CCGGCGGCGGUGCGCUGGCCGCGUCUCCCCAGCCGGCCGCGGCAACGCCACCCCCGCUCGUAAGAAAAAGCUCAAGAAACGACGGUGACCGCGCUGGGGGCGUUGGGUCGUUUCUUCCCGACGCGGUUCCCCUUUCCUCCCGAUCCGGUGCUCCCGUCCCAUUCUCGCAGCCACGGACCAGGCACACGGCAGCCCGACCCCUGCAAUCCAUGGCGCCGUUGUUCCUUGUGCCACCUCCGAUUUUUGCCGAUUCGCGUGUGGCUCAAAUCUCCUGUUCGCCAGCUUCAAGAACCCAAAUCCACCCCGAAUCGUCCCUCCCUAAGCAUCUGCAGGUAGCUGCAAGAACGGAUCAACAUGAAUUGGGCAAGCUCCAUUCGAGAUCCAGAUGAGGCAUCCGGCUUCCGGUGGUGCUUCGGAAUCUGGCGCUGCAGCUGCAGUGGUGCUCCAGCCAUCCGAGCUUCAGGCGCCGAUUCUCCUCCAGCCGCCCGUGUUGCAGGUGCCGGUGCUCCUAUUGCCAGAGCAGCUCCCAGCUGGUGAUCCUCCAGCAGCCGGAGCAGCUCCAGCCCGUGUUGCUAGUAUAAUUGACAUUGACUUUCUCUGUUAUUCCCUUUCUUUCUUGAGGUAAUUGGUUAACAGCUUGAAGAGACAUUCACACCAUAGAGUGCCUGUGCUCUAAUGCCAUGCUGAUGCAUUGACCGGUGCUAUGAGAAUUCAACAGGCUACACGGCUAAAUGGCCACAACUGCCACGCGCCGUCCAAAUUUGGGUGAUUUGGGUUCUGAUUACUUCGAGCACGAGCAGAGGAAGAGAAGUGGGAGGAAAGAGAAGAGACAUACACAUGGACCCAUUUGGACCCAUUCAUAGAGGGUACAAUAGACUAUUCACAAUAAGUGCUUAUAUUUUUGGAGCUGGAGUACUGCCACCAGCCAAACACGGGUAGCAGCCCCAUGUUUUUCUGAAGUUGGUGAAGUGGAGCUAGGAAAGUGUGGAGCUGGUUUUUGUGAGGUGGAGUGCUGCCAAACACCCCCUAUGUGUGAGCAUGUGUCUGCUUCAUUUGCAUCAAAAAGUGUUGAUCUAUUUGUCGGUCAUACAUCUAUGAGCCUACCGGGAGGCUUGGACAGUCCUACGUACGAGGUUGUACACCAAGACAUAUUAGACAUGGAGACUACAAUGCAGGACGACGUGGUCUACGUGGCGAACAAGAACUAGUCAAGGAUUAAGAAACUACUCGUAGCAAUUAGAGUAGGAUUCCUUAGUCGAAUCCGACUAGUACUUUUGUACAACAACCGACCUGUAACCCUACCCUAGACAAUAUAAGGCGAGGCAGGGAUCCCCUCCAAAUAAUGACCAAUCAAUACAACUCAACCAACACACAUGACGUAGGGUAUUACGCAACAUAAGCAGUCCAAACCUGUCUAAAUCGUGUGUUCGAGUUCGAGUUCACCUUCGAGUUCCUAGUCUUCGGCAAGCCCCACGUACAAAACACUACCUCGAGUACCCCCUCGGUAGGUUGCCGGGUCUAAACACCAGCACUAUUGAUGAGACUUGGUCCC
rnacentral:lncRNA from 1 species